UCAUUCUUUUUUUGAUGAGUUCUUUUCUCACAGUUCAGAUCUCUACCCAAAUGUCACCUUUCAUGAAAUCUGUCUGGCUGAUCUAGAAAGGAGCGCGGUGACCGUUCCCCUUUCCAUCAAUGUCCUCUUUCUUCUUUUGCAUUCCUAAAAUGGCUUAGCACUUCCUCUCUGCAGGUGGUCUCAUCUGUUUGUAUCUUCAGCCUGUCUUCCCUCCCUAGGGUGGAAGGCUUGUCUAACUUGGUCACCACUUCACGCCCAAGCAUUAACAGAUAUUCAUGAAAAUCUCUGGGUGCACUCACUCAUUUAUUCUUUGGUUCACUGAUUCAUGGGAAGCCUGUGGUCCCACUGGCUCAUGUCUUGGCUUUGCACCCUCUUUCUCUCUUUAUGAUGCGAUAAACUGAUCAGUCUCCUCCCAAAAUACAACUCCAGCUGACCUCUAGGUUCUCUCACAGCACUCAUCUGUGACCUCACAGAACCCCGGGCCAGGAAAUCACGAUGCUUCCGCCCAGUGAUCUGUCUUUCCCACCUACUCUGAGUCCCUCCAGGGGAAGAGCCAGAGCUCCUACCUCUGAAUUCCCAAUGCUCACCAGAAAGCUCAGCAUCCUGGUUAGGGAGAAAAGUAAAAACCAGAGCAGUGAGUGACUCAGGUUUAAAUCUCUCCCCUCGUUAACAGAUGAUUCUGAAGGUGAUUCAGAUCAUCUCUGAUUCUCCCUGUCCUUACUGCUGGGUGGAGGCUUCCUAGGUGACUGUCUUCAGAAGUUGCUUUCAUCUUUAAAGAACUAUUACAACAACUCAAAGCGUCGCAUCAGGCUCCUGGUCAGGGAACUGAAGAUGUCACAUCUGGGCGACAAGACCACUGCUCUGCUACCCCUGCAGCCCACUGGGGUGGUAAACUCGGCCCCAGUAAAAACUAGAAGGACAAAAUACAAUAAGAGACAGACAAACGAACAGAUAAUUCUGUGUCUAUUAGACAUGACAGAACAGAAUGUCACAGGAGCUGAGCUAAGGAGGUAAGUAGCUAAUUAAGUGGGAUCUGGAAAAUAGAUUGGGUGAUAUCCAAGAUAAGUCAAGAAAACCUAAGGAAAGAAUAUCAGAGGCAGAGGAGUCCUGAACGUGUGUGUGUGUGUGUGUGUGUGUGUGUGAGAGAGAGAGAGAGAGUGUGUAUGAGUGUGUGUGUGUGUGUGUGAGUGUGUGUUAGGGAGUUAAGAUGAAUGAGAUAAGUAACAUCUAAGUC
rnacentral:lncRNA from 1 species